ACUGAGAGAAUUAUAUUUUCUAAAUCUUGUUUAUUGAUUUCAUAGGCAUAUUCUAAUAAUGGCUCUAUACAUUGGAUGUGCAGACCCUGUAAAGAGGGGUCAACUUGAUUGGAGAAAACGCUAUAACAUUAUCGAGGGAAUUACUCGAGGGAUUUUAUAUCUUCAUCAAGAUUCACGGCUCACAAUCAUACAUCGUGACCUCAAAGCGAGUAACAUUCUCUUAGAUGCAGAUAUGAACCCGAAAAUCGCAGAUUUUGGAAUGGCAAGGAAUUUCAGAGUGGACCAGACUGAAGACAAUACAGGAAGAGUAGUUGGAACAUUGUAAAUAAUCGUCCAUUUCACUAACAUUCUGUCUGUCCUUUUUUUUUUCCUGAUAAAACUAAAAGUGAUAUGUGCUGUGUUUUGCAGUGGUUACAUGCCUCCCGAGUAUGUGGCGAAUGGGCAGUUCUCGAUGAAAUCUGAUGUUUAUAGUUUCGGAGUAUUGAUUCUGGAGAUAAUUGUUUGCAAAAAGAGCAGUAGCUUCCACCAGAUAGAUAGUUCAGUAGGCAACCUGGUCACAUAUGUUAGUACUAAAAAGCCAAUGCAAGCUCCAACUUCUUUUUACUCUUUUAAACUGUGACCAUGGCCCUAAACUUUGGUUUCUUGAUAAAUGACUUACAGGUUUGGAGGCUUUGGAACAAUGGAUUAUCGUUGGAACUCAUAGACCCGGCCAUAGGGGAGAAUUAUGAUAAAGAUGAAGUCAUUAGAUGCAUCCACAUCGGGUUAUUGUGCGUUCAAGAAAAUCCUGCAGAUCGUCCAACCAUGUCCAAUGUUUUCCAGAUGCUCACUAAUAAUUCAAUCACUCUGCCCGUUCCUCAAACACCUGGAUUUGUCUUCACGGUCAGAUCCGAGCCAAACCCAUUAGCUGAGAGAUAUCAGCCUCGUUCGUCUACUGCCAUUUCGUUUGCUUGUUCCAUUGAUGAUGCAUCGAUCACGAGCGUCAAUCCUCGUUGAAAUUAGAGGUUAAUGAUAAUAUGUAGAUGAUCCUUUCGCAAGCCAAAACUCUAAAUAGUCACUCAUAAUUAAUGUGCAUAAAAAAUCACGUUUUGAUGAAAUUGACAAGAGCAACAAUUACUACAUGACGCGCACACAUUCUCUGAAUCAUCUAAAGAAAAGAAAAAAUAGGGAAAGAAGAGAAACUCUGUUUUUUUUUUUUUUUUUUUUUUUUUUUUUUUUUUUUUUUGGAGCCAUUUCUGUUUCUAUACAACAUUGUGGAACACUACAAAAUGGUCAGAGUCUAUAGCAUGGUGAUGCUUCUAUAAACCCUAUAACCCCUUCAUAUCUUGUGUGACUACGAUAUGCUUUGUGAGUUCUAUAAAAUGGUGUACAUUUUUCGGUUACUUUUUGGGUUUCGUUUAACAUGGGAUAGGUUAUCACCCUGGGAACGUGCUACACAAGUAACUGGAUCCAAAAAAUCAUAGGAGACUUGGGAGUUUUUGGGUUCAACGGUUAAAACAUAUGGUUACGAAUGAUGAUGAAAUUCAACGUUUGCCAUUAUCCCAAAACCAUUGACUUUUGUCGCGGGCCCGUUUCACGCCGUAUAUGUUCAACAUGGUUUAAGGACCACAGUUAUCAGUUUUGCGAAUUCAACAUUUUGAAAAUUGCAGAGAAACUUCUAUUUCUUUUUUAGUAAGUAAGAUUUUGAAACAAAAAACGCGUAAACACAAAAGACAAAGAAUUAGCGAUUUAAAAAAAAGAAAAUAAGAAUUGGGGAUAAUGUUUUAAGGGAAUAAGACUAUGUGAUGAACGCUUAAUUGUAUCUAAAUCAUUACCUGUAAAGUUCAUUAUUCAGGUCUUAUGGGCGAAUGGAGAUGGUGUGCUAGGUUUAUAAUAGGACCUAAGAAAACUUAGAGCUCACGAAACUAAGGACUCUGAAAGAAAAAGAAAAAAGAAAAAAGAAACCAAGGACUCAUCAGGAACUGGUGGUUUUAAGGGAUUUUUCUAGGGUUUUGCUACGCAAUUUCGUUUUGUUAAAUUUGGGCUAAUUCUGGGCUUCCAACUAAAAACCAAUUGGCAAUUAGUGGAUUGGCCCUAACCCUUUAUAUAUUAUUGGUUGUCCCAUCAAACUUCCGAUGUGGGACUUGGAUUGUAUCUCCAACAAUCUCCCCUUCAAUCCAAGGACCAUAUGGAUCUAACACGCCUCAUCGAUCCCUCACUCGGAUCGAUAAUAAGCCCCUUUCUCGGACUCCCAUUACUCGGGUUUGAGGUAUGUCCGUAUCCACUUUUCUAGGUCCACCAGAAUUUGAACCUUGGGCUCUGAUACCAUGUUAAAUUUGGGCUAAUUCUGGGCUUCCAACUAAAAACCAAUUGGCAAUUAGUGGAUUGGCCCUAACCCUUUAUAUAUUAUUGGUUGUCCCAUCAAACUUCCGAUGUGAGACUUGGAUUGUAUCUCCAACACGUUUGUAGCCUUAUGGCAUUUGCGACGUGUUUUGAUUGCUUUUUGGUUUUAUAGGUAAGAAAUUGAUUAUGAAAAAGCUAAGUAAUUUGUCCGCGGAUGAGUGUUAAUGGUACCUCGCCCCCAGCCUACUGGCCUAGUGCAUAUCUACAUUAUUAUUUGAAGGAUAUAAACAUAAUAAUACUGUAUGAACAGAAAAAAAAUGAAUUAUGACUUAAGAUUUUCAUCUUUUGUUUUGUGACAUUUUGAAAGUUUCCGAGAAACAACAAUUGCUGCUUAAAUUGGUAAGACAUGAACAGAGGUUUACACACUAAAACAAAGCUAAAAUCUUUAAGGCAAAAUGAAGCAGAGGAGUUUCUUAUCAAUCCUCUGUUUUGUCCUUCUAACCUUUGGUGUUGCUUCUGUUUCAGCACAAACAUGCAUACAGAACCGUAAAUAUUUCAUACCCAACGGUACAUACGAUUCAAAUCGUCUUCUUCUCCUCUCUACUCUUCCUAACAAUACCGCGUCUCAAGAUGGUUUCUACUACGGUUCUAUUGGAGAAGAGCAGGAUCGAGUCUACGCAUUAGGGAUGUGCAUCCCAAGAUCAACUCCAAGUGACUGUUCUAAUUGUAUCAAGGGCGCGGCAGGCUGGUUGAUACAGGAUUGUGUCAACCAGACAGACGCGUAUUAUUGGGCACUUGAUCCAACGCUUUGCCUUGUCCGCUACUCCAACAUUUCUUUCUCAGGAUCUGCAGCUUUUUGGGAAACUACACCGCAGUAUUUGGUCUUGAACACUGCAACUAUCGCCUCAGAUCUAACAGAGUUCAAGACAAUAUGGGAAGACUUAACAUCUCGUAUGAUUACUGCAGCCUCCGCAGCAAGAAGAACACCAUCAUCCAGUGACAACCAUUACAGAGUUGAUUUUGCGAACUUGACAAAAUUCCAGAAUAUAUAUGCAUUAAUGCAAUGCACGCCAGAUAUUUCUUCUGACGAAUGUAACAGCUGUCUCCAACAAGGCGUACUUGAGUACCAGUCAUGCUGUGGAAAUAAUACAGGAGGCUAUGUUAUGCGGCCAAUCUGCUUUUUUCGGUGGCAGCUUUUUACAUUCUCUAAGGCUUUUGAUAACAUUACCCUGGCUACUCCUCCUUCUCCUCCUCUUUCUCCUCCUCCACUGCAACGUCCUGUGGUUGCGUCACAACCACCUUCUGCCAAGGACCGGCCCAAGACUACAGACAAUAGUAAGUCCAUGCAAAGUUAUGACUUGUUCAAAGAUUCUGCAGGGAGAGGAAAUAUCUCAAUGAAAACUAUUGUAGCAAUUGUUGUGGUUGUUUUAGUCAUUGUCAUCAUCUUGGCACUUCUCGCUUGCCGGUUUGCUCGGAAAGGAAAACCAUAUCAAGAAGUUGAACUUAAUCAAAGUGAGUGUUGUUCAUUUGAUUUUAUUUGGCCUUUUAGCAAAUAUAUAGUAUAUAGAACUAUAACUAAGACAAUUUAUUACACUGUAGCUGGUAUUACAACUGUACGGUCCCUGCAAUAUAAAUUUAAGACGAUCAAAUCUGCAACAAAGAAAUUUUCAGACAAAAUCGGCCAAGGUGGAUUUGGAAGUGUUUUCAAGGUAUCAUUUCUUUAGCCACGAACUAAGUUCAUGACUUCUCUUGAAAAAAAAAAGGAAUUACAGAGUCAAAGUAAUCUAAAAAUUGAACUUACAGAGCCAUGUUGACGCAUUGAUGUUAUUUGUAGGGUAUGUUGCCUGAUGGAAAAGAAAUUGCAGUGAAGAGGUUGUCAAAAUCAUCAGAACAAGGUGAGAAAGAGUUCAAGAACGAGGUUGUUGUUGUCGCCAAACUUCAGCAUAGAAAUCUUGUUAGACUUCUCGGUUUUUCUGUCAAAGGAGAAGAAAAGAUACUAGUGUACGAGUUUGUGCCCAACAAAAGUCUUGAUUGUUUCCUUUCUGGUAAGCUUACAUUUUCUAAAACCUUUGUUCUUAAUCUUAUAGUCUAAUGGGUCUAUAUGAAAUUUGCAGACCCUAUAAAGCAAAGAGAGUUAGACUGGACAAAGCGGUAUAUGAUCAUUGGAGGAAUUGCUAAAGGGAUUCAAUAUCUUCAUCAUGGUUCACGGAUCAAAAUCAUACAUCGUGACCUCAAAGCAGAAAACAUACUCUUGGAUGGUGAUAUGAACCCGAAGAUUUCUGAUUUUGGAAUGGCAAGGAUCUUUGGGAUGGAUCAAACUAGAGCUAACACAAGAAGGAUUGUUGGAACUGAGUAAAAUGCUUUUAUUACCCUUGAUAGCUUAUGAACUGAAGUUUCAAGAAUCUUUUCUUCACCAAUGUUACAAUUAAUCUUGCAGAGGUUAUAUGCCCCCAGAGUAUAGGAUCGACGGGCAAUUCUCAAUGAAAUCUGAUGUGUAUAGCUAUGGAGUCUUAGUUCUUGAGAUUAUAUGCGGCAAGAAGAACAGGAACUUCUGCCCUCCGGCUCCAAAUUUGGUCACAUACGUGAGUACCAAGAAAAAAUCAAAUCUUAGAGUAUGAUCCUAUCUAGUUGUUGGUUGAUGAUUAAUUUAUGUUACAGGCUUGGAGGUUAUGGAGAGACGGGGCACCAUUAGAACUCGUGGAUCCAAUCAUUUCAGAGAAUUGUCCAACCGAAGAAGUGAUAAGAUGCAUCCACAUUGCGCUCUUAUGUGUUCAAGAAAAUCCUACAGAUCGUCCCGACAUUUCGAUAAUCAUGUCGAUGCUCACUAGCAAUUCCGUCAUCUUACCUGUUCCUGAACCACCUGGAUUCUUCAUUUCAAAUACACAAUACCAAUCUACGAGGAGGUCCAAUUCCCAAACUAUCAAUGAUGAAACUUGAUCCUCGCUGAAGAUGAUGUUCCAUUGAAACAUUGAAACUGUUGUAAGUAAACUAUAUUUUCUGGUAUUUCAGUUUGAACUGUAAUGAAUUAUUCAAAAGUUAUGUAUGUGUAAAUUGUGAGAUACUCAUCAAAGUAGUUAUGUACACUUUUAGCAUUUUCUAUUUUUUACAUUCUUAUACCAGCUCUUUGUUAUAAAAUCCUUGUAUGAAUUUUAUCAAUUUACUUACUUAACCGGUCCUCUCUAGCCGGGGCUCACUCAAUUUGAUGCUUAUCUUGGUUAUAAAAUCCGUAGAUAGUUGCUCAAACAUUGCCUUCAAUCACUUUGAUGCUCACUAGUAACACAAUUACUCUACCAAUGCCUCAAAAACCAGAGACCUGAUCAAGACUUUGUAGCCUGUCCUACUCUGUUAUACUCUGUUCUUAAUUAACUCAAGUUUUAGAACAAAAAAAAUUGUUUCAAAAAGAUUUUCUAAAACUUGAAUUAUAAAAUAAAAUAUUAAAAUCCUCUAAACUGUUUUUUUUUUUUUUUUUUUUACCUGUAUCAAUAUACCAAUCCAAACCGGUUUAUUUAGUUAACCGGUCGUCGACGUCUUCUUCAGCCGGGGCUGGAACGCGUUUUGGGAAUUUUUUCAUUAAGGGUUUCGCUUUCAGAUUUAGUGGCGAUCUAAAGUUGAUGGCUUUUCGAUUCCAACUAUAUUUAUGGGAAUUAGGGUUUCAUCUGUUAGUUAUAUGCUUGCAAUUGACGAUUUGUUGCUGAUUACUCUGUUUCAUCGAAUCAAAAUUCUCCAACUUUCCUUUUUUCGGAAUCAUGUUCUUCUUGUCUUGUUCUUGUCUGAUAUCGUCUAAAUAUUCUUUACAUGAAUUAUUUAUUCAAAGACUUUUCGACGAUAAUGCCAGUGGCAAUCGUUUAGUAGUUAAUGUAAUAGACAGGACCAGUGAUGGGUCAAUAUCAUUCCUUUCGGUCCCAUUGCAAUUUGCAGAUUAAUGUCAAUAAUGCUACUAAUGUGCAAUCCUCUCUGUCAAAAAUUGGAACUUUAUGAGUGAAGUCAUUAUAAAGUGACAAUGGACUCACAUGUAUGCAGACAGAUCCUCCAAAUCUUCGAAAAUGAAACAGAUGAGUCUCUUGUGGUUUGUUCUUGUUAGCUUUAGUGUUGCUUCUGCACAACCAUGCGUGAACAACGGGUUUUUUAGACCCAAUAGUACAUAUGACAUUAACCGUGCUCUCGUCCUCUCUACUCUUGCUUCAAAUGUCAGGGCUCGUAACGGUUUCUAUAAUGCAUCGAUUGGCCAAGAACUUGAUCGAGUGUAUGGAGUGGGGAUGUGUAUCCCUGGCGCUGAACCAGAGCUGUGCUUAGAUUGUAUCGAGAAGGCGUCUGACGGGUUAUUACAGAGCUGUCCUAACCAAACAGAAGCCUUUACAUGGUCUGGUGGAGGUAAAACUCUUUGUAUGGUACGUUACUCCAACCGUUCAUUAUCUGGAUCACUUGAUAUGGACCCUCCUUCAAAAGGGUACAAUGAUGGGGAUAUCAAAUCUAAUGUAACAGAGUUUAAUAGAAUUUGGGAAGAGUUAACGCUUAGAAUGAUAGUCGAGGCUUCUACAGGCAAGGAUGCAUCAAUAUUGUCUAAUCAUAAGUACUAUGCAGCCGACAUAGCAGCGUUGACAGCUUUCCAGAAUAUAUACGCAUUAAUGCAAUGCACACCGGAUUUAUCUUCGACAAACUGUAAAACCUGUCUGUUGAAAAGUGUUGGUGACUAUCAAACCUGCUGCCAUGGGAAGCAAGGUGGAUAUGUAUUUAGGCCAAGCUGUAUUUUCCGGUGGGAUCUGUAUCCCUUUAACGGGGCUUUUGAUCAUAUUACAUCGACAGCGCCACCAUCAUCUCGUCCAGCACCUCCGCCUCAAGUGCCAGCUUCUAUGGAACUUACUAAAACCCAUAAAGGUAAAUACUUCAAUACCAAACUUUGAUUGCAAGAAACUGUCAGAACAUAAAGUUUGUCUAGUGUACUAAAAGUUGGCCCCAAGAUUUGAAGAUGAGACGGUUUCAGAACAAUAUGCUUUUUUGUUUUUCUCAGCGUGUAAAUUGUCUUCUAUGUUUGGCUUCCACAGAUAAUAAAACAAUCUCAAAAGGAGUCGUCAUGGCAAUUGUUGUUCCGGCUGUAAUUACCUUCUUGGUAUUGGCUGCUCUAGGAUUUGCUGUUUGCGGGAGGAGGAAGUCAUACCAAUCACUUGAUCGUCAGAGUGAGUUGUUUCACACGUUUUUCAUCAUUUACUUUAUCCUUUUUUCCAGAUAUAUAUGGUCUGCGUUUGCAGAUUCUUGGUGGAUUUUAAAGUGAAAAGACCUAUACGUUCCUGUAUGCAGCUGGCAUUGAUAUUACAACUACACAUUCACUGCAAUUUGAUUUGAAGACAAUCGAAGCUGCAACAGAUAAGUUUUCAGAGAGGAACAAGAUUGGUCAGGGUGGAUUUGGAGAAGUUUUCAAGGUAUAUUUUCUUAGACUUUCUGCUUUCUUUAAUCUCCUAGAGAGUUUGGAUAACACAUCCAAGUGAAGUUAUAUUCUUUGUAGGGUGUGCUUCCAGACGGGACAGAAGUUGCUGUGAAAAGGCUGUCAAAAACAUCGAGUCAAGGCGCACGAGAGUUCAAGAACGAGGCUGUUCUGGUGGCAAAGCUUCAGCACAGAAACCUGGUUAGGCUGCUUGGUUUUUGUUUGGAAGGAGAAGAGAAGAUACUUGUCUACGAGUUUGUACCUAACAAAAGCCUCGACUACUUCCUGUUUGGUGAGUCCAAUUUAAUACAUAUAUUGGGAGAAUCAUAAUGAUCCCUCAUAAUUAACUUGUGUUUCAAAUGAUUUUAUAUUUACAUACAGAUCUUUCAAAACAAGGCCAGUUGGACUGGAAAACACGUUACAAUAUCAUUGGCGGGAUUGCUCGUGGAAUUCUCUAUCUUCAUCAAGAUUCACGACUCACAAUCAUACACCGCGACCUCAAAGCGAGUAACAUUCUCUUAGAUGCUGAUAUGAACCCAAAAAUUGCUGACUUUGGAAUUGCAAGGCUUUUUGAGAUGGACCAAACUCAAGCUGAAACGAGCAGGAUAGUUGGAACCUAGUAAAAAAAUUUCCCUUGUCUGCAUUUAUAACUGAAGUUUGAAUUGCAAUAAUUUUAGGAUGGACAAUACUCUUGUUGUGGGUGAAGUUAUGUUUUUUUUUUUUUUUCUUGUUCUGCCAG
rnacentral:lncRNA from 1 species